CCUACGGGGGGCAGCAGUGGGGAAUAUUGGACAAUGGGGGGAACCCUGAUCCAGCGACGCCGCGUGAGUGAAGAAGUCUUUCGGUAUGUAAAGCUCUAUCAGCCGGGAAGAAAGCAAUGACGGUACCUGACUAACAAGCCCCGGCUAACUACGUGCCAGCAGCCGCGGUAAUACGGAGGGGGCAAGCGUUAUCCGGAUUUCCUGGGUUUAAAGGGAGCGUAGACGGCGAUGCAAGUCUGAAGUGAAAGGCGGGGGCCCAACCCCCGGACUGCUGUGGAAACUGUAUGGCUGGAGUGCAGGAGAGGUAAGUGGAAUUCGUAGUGUAGCGGUGAAAUGCAUAGAUAUUAGGAGGAACACCAGUGGCGAAGGCGGCUUACUGGACUGUAACUGACGUUGAGGCUCGAAAGCGUGGGGAGCAAACAGGAUUAGAUACCCCAGUAGUC
rnacentral:rRNA from 1 species